rnacentral:rRNA from 1 species
GCAUAACGCGAAGAACCUUACCAAGGCUUGACAUACACCAGAACACCCUAGAAAUAGGGGACUCUUUGGACACUGGUGAACAGGUGGUGCAUGGUUGUCGUCAGCUCGUGUCGUGAGAUGUUGGGUUAAGUCCCGCAACGAGCGCAACCCUCGUUCUAUGUUGCCAGCACGUAAUGGUGGGAACUCAUGGGAUACUGCCGGGGUCAACUCGGAGGAAGGUGGGGAUGACGUCAAAUCAUCAUGCCCCUUAUGUCUUGGGCUUCACGUAUGCUACAAUGGCCGGUACAAUGGGCUGCGAUACCGUGAGGUGGAGCGAAUCCCAAAAAGCCGGUCCCAGUUCGGAUUGUGGGCUGCAACCCGCCCACAUGAAGCCGGAGUUGCUAGUAAUCGCGAAUCAGCAUGUCGCGGUGAAUGCAUU